GAUGAAGAACGCAGCGAAAUGCGAUAAGUAAUGUGAAUUGCAGAAUUCAGUGAAUCAUCGAAUCUUUGAACGCACAUUGCGCCCGCCAGUACUCUGGCGGGCAUGCCUGUUCGAGCGUCAUUACAACCCUCAGGCCCCCGGGCCUGGCGUUGGGGAUCGGCGGAAGCCCCCUGCGGGCACAACGCCGUCCCCCAAAUACAGUGGCGGUCCCGCCGCAGCUUCCAUUGCGUAGUAGCUAACACCUCGCAACUGGAGAGCGGCGCGGCCACGCCGUAAAACACCCAACUUCUGAAUGUUGACCCCGAAUCAGGUAGGAAUACCCGCUGAACUUAAGCAUAUCAAUAAGCGGAGGA
rnacentral:misc_RNA from 1 species